GCACAUUAAAAUUGUUUAUUUGUAAAUUUUAUAACAAUAGCAACAAAGAUAAUAAAAAUACUUUGAUGGCCAACACUCUAGUACUGUACAGAUUGAGAAUGUAGUGACUAUCGUACAUACAUCACACAUUCUUUCAAUAACUCAUCAUUAUUUGCUCACAAACAUAAUUAUUGCCCAUCUCUCACUAAUGAUUAUUAUUAGUGUAGUAUUUAUACAGUCAAGCUUCAGAGAUGUGCUAUCAAGACAAAACAGAUCAGAAUGUCAUCUAUAAACCAACAGCUGAGACUAGUAUGCACCAGUCUCAGUGACACAAAGCUGAAGAAAGGAAAUGAUAAAACUGUCCCAUCAUUCACUGGAGGGGAUUAAUUAAUUAUUAUGUGAUAGACAUACACACCUGCUAAAUGUUGAGUUCAACUUGUGAGAUCAAUAAGUUGUGUUUCACAUGUGUGAGUAUGAGUUGUACAUAGUUCAACAUAUCACACCUUGAUUUAGAAGCUAGAAUACCCAGAACCAUACAUUUGAAAACCAAAAACACAAUGAUUGGAACUUGUCUUUAACAAAUUUAUUUCAUUGCACAAGUGUUGCAAAUGAUAGGACUUUUAUUCUUGUGAGUGGACAUGUUUAUGGGUGGAGGGGGAGGGGACGACAAAUGAAAUCAUGGGGACAAACAAUAUUUAUAAGAAACUUCAUGAGAAAAACACUUUUUUUUUUCAUAUGAUUUCAUAGGAAAUGGUUUUUAAAUUUUAAAUCAUUACACUUUUCAAUUGGGUAUGAUAAAUUAUUGUAAUUCAAAUUAAAGCCCCAGAUUAAAUAUGUAAAUAGAAUUGACAUAUGAUGAAACAGAUGACCAUUAUAUCAUCUGCCCCAUAGAUCACAAGGUCCAAAUGGGGUACUAAAAAGAUUUAGAAACAACAAAUAACUAUACAAAUGAACAAGUUUUCUUUUGUAGACUAAAAAAAAAACACACAAAAAAUGGCCUGAUACAAUUUUUUUUUUAUAUCAAUAUUUUAAAUUCAUUGCUAUUAUU